rnacentral:rRNA from 1 species
GAAGAAGCACCGGCUAACUCCGUGCCAGCAGCCGCGGUAAUACGGAGGGUGCGAGCGUUAAUCGGAAUUACUGGGCGUAAAGCGCAUGCAGGUGGUUUGUUAAGUCAGAUGUGAAAGCCCCGGGGCUCAACCUCGGAAUUGCAUUUGAAACUGGCAAACUAGAGUACUGUAGAGGGGGGUAGAAUUUCAGGUGUAGCGGUGAAAUGCGUAGAGAUCUGAAGGAAUACCGGUGGCGAAGGCGGCCCCCCUGGACAGAUACUGACACUCAGAUGCGAAAGCGUGGGGAGCAAACAGGAUUAGAUACCCUGGUAG